rnacentral:rRNA from 1 species
AACGAACGCUGGCGGCAGGCCUAACACAUGCAAGUCGAGCGCACCUUCGGGUGAGCGGCGGACGGGUGAGUAACGCGUGGGAAUAUGCCCUUCACCACGGAAUAGCCUCGGGAAACUGAGAGUAAUACCGUAUACCGCCCGUUCGGGGGAAAGAUUUAUCGGUGAAGGAUUAGCCCGCGUUGGAUUAGGUAGUUGGUGGGGUAAAAGCCUACCAAGCCGACGAUCCAUAGCUGGUUUGAGAGGAUGAUCAGCCACACUGGGACUGAGACACGGCCCAG